rnacentral:rRNA from 1 species
UACGUAGGUGGCGAGCGUUGUCCGGAUUUACUGGGUGUAAAGGGCGCGUAGGCGGGGCAGCAAGUCAGUCGUGAAAUACCGAGGCUUAACUUCGGAGCUGCGAUUGAAACUGUUGUUCUUGAGUGUCGGAGAGGAAAGCGGAAUUCCUAGUGUAGCGGUGAAAUGCGUAGAUAUUAGGAGGAACACCGGUGGCGAAGGCGGCUUUCUGGACGAUAACUGACGCUGAGGCGCGAAAGUGUGGGGAG